GCAUUUCCAGAAUCAAAAAUGAACAUCUGUUCACUUGCCUAUCCAUUCAGUCUACACAGCUAAGACUAACCUGCAAAGAUUGAAUUGAUUCAACCUCAGGCUUUUUGACUGUCUUUACUUCACCCUAGGGUUACCCUGCAUUUCAUACCAGCACGAAGGAGCAGAACCACAGAAAUGUCAAAAGAAGGUACUUGAGGUCAGGGCAUGCAACCCAGUGCCCUGAGGUCGGAUUAAGUAUACCUACACCACCCCCAAUGAGUGCUUGUAGUCUGACUGCUUACGUCCAAGUAGAGAAGCUAUAGGUGAUGCCUCUCCCAAGUGUACCGUAUACCUCCUGUUCACAUCACAUCCCCCAUCUCAUGUCAGGCCCAGUUGGCACAGGUAGAAAAGAUUCCCAACAAGCCUGCUUAUGGCACAGCUUACUUUGGGACUGGUCUGGUGCCUGGUACCCAGAUCCAACCAGCUGCCCUGCCAUUGUCUAUUAAGACAGCAUUGCUAAUGCAUAAUUAAGUUGUGAUAGGAGAUUAUCAGACAGUCUGGACAGAAUAGAUCAGUACAGCUUCAGAAGGGAGGCAACAGGUUGGAGAACGUACAACUCCUUAAGUUGUACCAGAUCCUUCCAUCUCCCGAUUUCAAACCCUAGGACUGAACCAGUCUGGUCUCUCUCGUAUUUCUGAUGUAAUAUUUACCCCACAAUGUAGGAGUCUACAGGUACGCACAGCCCUAAGGGCUAGUCUCUGUAUUACAGUUCCCCGUGGUUGGCAAAGAGACGGGGCUUCUAGCAAGCAGCAAGCACACCUCCAGUUGUAGAAAGUAAAGUAGCCUAUAAUAGGUUUUUCCUUCCAAAGAUGUGGAGUGGGAGCCCCCAGCUUUCACUGAGCCUCCCACAUUAAAAAAUACCAUUCGCCCAUGGGGUUUUUGGUCGUCACGCUCUCUGCAGGGCUCUGGCUACCGCGGGAGAACGCUGCAAGCAUUGGAUUGAGUUUGAGGCAUCGGGGCAUUGGAGACGGAGCUGGAGAAGGUGUUUCUUCAACAGCAGCAGAGGAAUCUGACAUUCACGGUCUUUCAGCCUAAAGCAUCUAUUCUCUUAGUAAAUCAAGAUUUUCACAGUGGUCAACACCGCCAAGUGAAACCGGUGCUGCAUUGAUCUUCCAGGUAGACAGAAAAGCCACACACAGGAACACUCCUCUCCCCGAGGAAAACAAUACCAGCUUUUGUGAAACCCGACAUCUCCGCCUCCCGCGCGUCCUCCACCCCUGCAUCCCUUUGGAACAACAGUCUGAGCUACUGACUUUUAAAAGAGAUGAGCGUAGCACGGAAGAGGACACACACUUGCACAAAAAGGACGAUUGCAUGUGCAAACCCUUUUACGUGAGGACAUAGACGGCUCUACUUUCAGAUGCAUUGGCCAAGUACAACUUCUGGAAGUCACAUCCCCUUCAAGUCAGGUACCAAAGAACCAACACGCCCCCAAACCAGUCACUUUUCAAAAAGGUCCUAUGGAACAAGUCAUGCCCUCCCAGGCUGGCACAGGCCACCCUCUGCACGCUGCAAUGCCAGGAGAAGCCGUUCCACUUGGUUUCUUCAAGUCCCUUUUCUGGACCCAGAUGGAAAACUGAGAACAUUUUAAUCUGGCCUUUGUGCUCGAUUCUGGCAGCCCGCAGCCUGGGCUUAACGUGCUGCUAUAUUAAUUUCUAUCACUUAGUGGAAACCAACUGUGUUAUUCAUAUUUGGUUUCAUUGCGGCACAUAUAUUACUGUGGCAACUUUACAGAUGAAAAGUGCCCGUGCUCCAAGUCGAGACUCAGCCGGUGCCCCCCAGCUCUUGGCACCAGACUCGAGCUGCCCAUGGACCCAGCUGCCGCUCCUGUGAAAGCAGGGGAAUUCAUGCCUGUGCACCAGUCCGUGACAUCAUCCUGGCAUCCCAGCGCUCCUGCUGUGGCCACCCUACCCAUCCAACACCUCCCUGGGCCACAAGCCAGCUCUUCGAGGGAGCGGCUGGAAGAGACACGGCAGGUACUCCCUGCAACCAAAUGGCCACAGACCCGCUGGUACCUUGGGCACCAGUUGGAUCAGAACAUGGACCUGCCAGCUCCUCCUCUUCUCCAUCUUCCCAAGCCCUUGCCCUGGACCAUACCUUUCCUUUCCUCCACUCAGCAUUUAAGGAGGAAUGUGUAAAAUUCUCGGUUGAGUUUGCUAUCUGCUGUUUCCAGUACCGUUUCCUUUCUGUCUCCACCAUGUCUACAAGUGCUCACUGCCAACUUUGGGAAACCCAUGCCAGGCACUUGCACCUCGCUUAAAGGGUUAGCGCCAAGAUUCAAGCCUGUGGAAAAACAUGUUUCCUGAAAUGUACAGCCACUUCCAUUAUUUGGGCAUAAAAAAAUUCACUAGCCUAUUUCAAACCAAACCCCGGCAGGGCUGGCAUCACGCCGAGACUACAUGAAGGUUACAAGUCUGAGUGUCCUUAGAGACGAGCUACGUAGAAAGCUCCACGCUUAGAUGUUGUCUUCUGAAGUACAGGGGGGUGGCCCAAGGUUGUGGUUUUGGGCUUGGCUCCCACUGUAUUUUCAACCAAGUUUCAGGUUUGAGUUUUGGAAGUUCAGACCAUCCAAGGGGCCCACAAGAUCUGAACGGGAAGGAACAAGUCACGCGACCACCCCUGUUCUCCGUCCCAACGACCCACGAUGCACAUGUUCAUAGUCCUCAGCCUUGCCUCUCCCAGCCAGACUGCACUGCUCAAACAGAUUUUUUUCUUGGCUUGUGGGUUAUUAGGAAACCACCAAGCACAUUUCAUGUGUGCCCAAUGGCAGAUGUUAACCCAGCACUCUGGGAGACGAAAGGAUAACAUUGCAAUUCGCUGCUACCGCCGAACUCCCACUAGCUCCAGCAGGUCCCCAGCUGACUGAAGGGGGAAAAAUCUGGCUAAUAAACAGAUGACAUUUUUUUGGUUUUCCAUUUUAACACCUCUGCUCCUUCUACAUUUGCACCUCUCUGUCAUCCAGUAAAGUCUCUACAUUUAUGGAACAGACGGUUGUGCUUACCCAGAGCUAUCGGAUAAUGCCUGGAGCGUGCACACCGUCCUGGGACUCUUAUUACAAGUAAGACUUUUAUCUUGCACGAGUCUAUGAAAAAUCUUAUUAGGAAGAAUGUAAAAUGUGUGGCUUAGCCGCUUAUAAAGCCAUACUGAGCUGUAAAAAUAUCGACAGAGCAAACCAAGUUGUGAAAAAUGACUGUGGGCUUGUCUCUAUUUCAGCCUAAGUGCUGCAACAUGCGCUACAUCUCUGGUUUUCCCACUGGUUCAUAUUUGCCAGUUGGUCAUUUUUAAAUGUUAUAGGUCAGAGGAGGACCAGUUUACAGCAGCUCUGUAGCCUGGUAGGUUUUUCUGAUGACUUUCCUGUUGUAAUCCAGAAACUCAACUUGUACUCAGAACGGUGGCGGACUUACCGUCCUGGACUGGGAAAAUCUAUUUUGACUGGUGGAGCCCAUCCCCUAAUCAGGUAAGGGCUGGGCAGAGCUGACCUGACCCUGCCCAGAGGUGGGCGGGGGAGAAGGAGCUUCCCGGACCUGAUCGAAGCCUGCAUUUUGCAGGUCCGGCAAAACUUUGGGGGCGCAGCCUCCAACGCGAAAAAAAGGAGCCGCGUGCCCAGCACACAGCAGACGUGUUGGGGGACAAUGAAGGAAGAAGGGGCUAAGAAGAGAGCUGCCCGGCAAGUGAAGAGCCCCAAAGACCCUCCCUUGCCGGGACCGACGCCUCUGUCCCAUCGGUGCAUGAAGCGGCGCACGGGGCUCAGACCUUGGGGCUGCUUGCGGCAGUCUGGCCCCUCAUCCCUUGGCAGGUGGCGAGGGAGUGGUGCAGAGAUUGGUGCGUGGAACGCAGACCCCGGGAGCCGCUCGAGGCAGCUCGGGUCCGCAACUCCGGCCAGCGGCCAGGACCACGGUGCAGAGUUCGCUGCACAGAGGGUCCAAGAGCAGACCAGGACUCUGGGAGCUGCUUCAAGGUGGCUUGGGUCCACGCAGCCAGGCUGCCAACGCGGCAGCACCCCACAGCGGGUCCAGGAGCUGAUCGAGCCCAGUGUCACACGAGGAGGGGGCCCAGGCCUCCAACCCCUGCCAUAAAGAGUGAGCCAAAUGGUGCACAGGGCUAUGAGCAGGCCUCAGGACGGGAGAGAGCCCCGGGCAGCACCAGGAGAGGCGCCCAGCCCACAGAGCCGGGGGUCAUGAGUGUUGGGAGCAAGGGUAUCCCACUGGGGAGGAAACCCUCGGGAGGGAGCCAGCAGAGGCCCCUGUGAGGAAGGGGGUCCUGUCCCAGCCCACGAGGAUUUGGAGGGGCCUGGAUCAUCGUCCCCUUUUCCCCUGGCAGAGCUGCAGCUGGGCUUCCCCCCAUUGGAUGGGGAGACCCUAGCAUAGCGGCACCUUCAACACCCAGAAGGGUGAGCAGGCACCUUAUAGUUUGUCAUUUGAGGUUUUACUCUUAUAUGAGUACAAGUGUAUUCUUAUCUUUGAUUUCCACUUUUCAUGACAAUGUUUGUUCCUGCACUGUAACUAGUUACUUGCAUUUAUUCCUCUUGACGUGCUGUAUUUACCGGCGUUUACCUCUGCUCACCUGAUCCAGAUCCAUUACUUACCUGUGUGGGUUGAAGCUCUAUAGGAGGUAUAAGUCAAGUGUAUAAUAUAGUCCUGUACCAUUCAAUAAGUAAUUAUGUAUAUGCAUAUAUACAUACAUACGUGUGCAUGUGUGUGUGCGUACUUUUAUUUUAUUAAUUAAUAAGCCUGUACAUAGUUAAGCAGUUGAGCCCUGGCCUGACUUCAUAAGGAACCAAGGGGAAACGGUGUGGUUGACAGUUCCCUCCCCCAGCAUCUCUGCCUGCUGACAAUCCCCUUCAAUUCGGAGAGGCGGGUACAUACCUUGUGUACACCCAGGCUACCUAACCUAACUCUUAGUCUUUGCGAGCUGUGAGGAUAACCCUCAGAGUGUAAAGCAAUUAUGAAUGCACACGGUGCUGUUUGCCAGGACGGACGUACAGGCAACCCCCGCUUAACGCCGUUUCGCAGAGCGCUAUUUCACUCAUUUUAAAUUGAUACCCGAUUUCAUUUAGCGCUCAGUGAGUUUCAUUAUAACGCUUGCGGUUGCCUUCUUGGCUCAUCACACACAAUCGUGGUUGCCAUCUUGGAUCAUCAAAUACUUUUGGUUUUGCUUAAUGCUCGUUUCACUUAACGCUCGGUUUUUCAGGAACCAAUUAAGAGCGCUAAGCAGGGGUUGCCUAUACGUACAAAAGGACAAUUAAACCCCAAGGCAAAAGGGGCAAGUGCUUUACUGGGUGUCAGCUGACCUGUGUGACUGCUGUGUGCACCCUCUUAUCUCAUGAUAAAAGCCAACUCCCCAACGCAGGAGUAGAGGUGGAUGUCGUUUUCUUGGAUUUUAGCAAGGCCUUCGAUACAGUAUCUCAUCCCAUUCUCAUAAAUAAAUUAACAGGCUGUGACACAGAUGGUUACACGGUCCGGUGGGUGGCAAAAUGGCUAGGGGGUCACACCCAGAGAGUGGUCGUGGACAGGUCAGUAUUGACCUGGAAGGAUGUGGGCAGUGGGGUCCCGCAGGGUUCGGUCCUUGGACUUGUGCUCUUCAGUACCUUCAUCAGUGACUUGGACGUGGGUGUGAAGUGUACUCUGUCCACAUUUGCGGAUGAUACUAAAUUGUGGGGUGAAGUGCACACACCAGAGGGUAGAGAGUGAUUGCAGGCAGACCUGAACAGGUUAGAAGUGGGCAGUACACAAUAGGAUGCAGUACAUCGAGGACAAGUGCAGAGUGCUGCACCUAGGGUGCAAAAAUAUCCAGUAUGUCUACUGGCUGGGAAGUGACCCUCUCAGCAGCACAGAAGUGGAAAGGGGUCUCAAAGUCCUAGUGGACUCCAAGAUGAACAUGAGUCGUCAGCGUGACGAAGUCAUCAGCAAAGCUAACCGCGCUUUAUCGUGCAUCAGCAGAUGCAUGAUGAAUAGAUCCACGGAGGUGAUGCUUCCUCUUAUGUGGCAUUGGUCAGGCCGCAGUUGGAGGACUGCGUCCAGUUUUGGGCGCCGCACUUCAGGAAGGAUGUUGAUAGACUCGAGAGGGUCCAGAGGAGACCACUCGCAUGGUUAGGGGCUUACAGGACAAGCCCUAUGAGGAGAGACGGAGGGACCUGGACCUCUUCAGCCUCUGCAAGAGAAAGCUGAGAGGUGAUCUUGUGGCCGCCUACAAAUUCAUUAGGGGAACACAGACAAGGAUCGGAGAGUCUCUGUUCGCCAGGGCGCCUCUUGGGGUAACAAGGAACAACGGUCACAAACUGACAGAGAGCAGAUUUAGGCUAGAUAUCAGGAAACACUUCUUCACGGUAAGGGUGGCCAAAAUUUGGACUGGGCUGCCAAGGGAGGUGGUGCUCUCCCCUGCCCUGGGGUCUUCAGGAGAAGGCUGGACAGGCAUCUGGCUGGGGUCAUCUCACCCCAGCGCUCUUUCCUGCCUAGGCAGGGGUCAGACUCGAUGAUCUGUUGAGGUCCCUUCUGACCCUAGUUUGGCUCCCACUUGCCACCAGACACCCACGGGAAGUUACCAUAGAGCAGGUGACCUGCAGUAACACCCUGCCCCUUUUGCCCCAGGGCUGAAUUGUCCUUAUGUACGUACGUCCUGUGUGAAACCUCACGGGAAAUGACGUGUCCGUGUCCAGAGCCUGCAACCAACAAGAAGGCCCCAGGUUUGCCUUCUGUCCCCUGCAGUCCCAAAGCAAAGCAGGAUGUGAACUAUUGGGAAAUCCCUUCGCUUACUACGGUACUCAGGUGACAGGAGCCACUGGAGAGGGGACAGUCCUGUAACUGGUAAAGAGCCUCUGCUUAAAAGUCUUACUGGAGACCAGGAGACCUAGUUUCUCCUCUUUAUUCUAUCGGUGCCUCAGUUUCCUUGUCUGAAAAACAGCAAUCACACUUAUCCUCACAGGGAACCAGCCAGGAUAAUGUUUAUAAAAGCACUCGGAGAACCUCAGCUGAACAAUGCUAGGGAAGGGCAAAGUAUCACGUUACUAGAGAACCAGACUCUGGUGCCCUUCGGUUGGGUUGGGCAUCGCCCUCCGGUGCCAUCUGAAAUCAAGAACGCAUCGACAGUCAACACCGAGAUGACCAACGAGGGAGGAUCUAGCAUCUAAGCUACAGAGUCUGGGGACAUCGCGCUCAGCAGCGAUUUACAAUUCCUCCCAAGCCACAUCCCCAAGCGGGGUGUCGAUGGGCAACCCGAGCUUUGUCUCUGGCUUUUCAGCUGAGCCUGCCAAAAAAGUCAGCAUUAGUAGCAGAAGCAGUCGUCACAACAACGUGGACGAGAGCGUAGUAGAAACCGUGCACUUUCCUAUUAGCCGGCUAACUUCUGUCGAGAGAAAUGUGAAAGACGAGUGCAGCAGGUCAAAGCCAUAGGUAAGCACGGGGCAGACAAGCAAUCUGUCUAGCAAGGCUUUGAAAACAGUUGGGGAACAGGAACACUUUCUGGCUCCAAAACUAUCUGUAUUUACCCAGUGAGCUAAACCACCGUAUCCUGUUUGUGAGGAGGAGCAGCAACAGGAUUUCAGGACGUGCGCUGCCAGAGAGCAAAGACCUCGUCGCAGAACGGCAACCCCUACUUACAUUCAUGACGGACACCGGGAUACUUCUCGCUGCUCUAUUCGCCUGCCCUACAAAAUAACCAUCGCCGAGAUAUUAGCGCUAGGUGAUCACAGCUUUCACAAACAUUAUUCCAAAAGGCACCACUUACCAGUCUGACUUCAAAGAGCUGUUUUCACUCCCUUCUUUAAUUUGGCUUAGGGUAUUUUAAACAUGAGACUUGCAUUUCGUUUUGCAAGUGAUAACAUAUCAGAUGUGUCCUUCAGUCAACAUUAUCUGCAGGGUUUCAAGAUUAAAAUAUUGAUUUAAUCCCAUCAGGUCUUAGCAGGAAGUGUGGUGCAUUACCUAUCAAUGGUUUCUUGUCUUUUCAUGUCUCAGCCGCCCGUACCCUACUAUAUGGAUCAUAACUAAAAACAAUAAAAAUCAACCAGCCUAUGGCCCGACUUCUGUCAGCCUGAUGUAGCGCAUUUAAAUACCGGACAAUAAAAACAAGCUUAUUAUUUUAUAAACAGGCAUUUUUGGCUAGGUUUUAGAAGUUGUGGAUUCACUUUGGACCAUAUAUUAGUAGGGGAAAUGCCACUGUUACUAGAGAGACCUGUCACAGGUUGGGAGGUGAGAUUUGCAAGUUGUUAAAAGACAGGACAAAGGGUUGGGUUUUUUUUAACAAAUGUGGAAAUCACACAUGAAAGCUGGCUGGCGCGUUCAGUAGAAAACACCUGAGCAAAUGUCUGUAUCACUAAGUGCAAUGCUUUCGGCACAUUAGGGUCCUGUUCUGCGCAGGUAAUGACUGCACCUGCCAAAGUGAGUAAAAACCUGUUUCACACCCCAGCUACUCAUCUGUGCAAGCCAGGCAGCCGGACCACUGAGUAUGCAGCUUGUCUGCGUGAAGAAGCACGCUCUCAGCACAUACCCACACAUCCAAGAGCAUGUGCAAAUGCAGAAGCUGGGAGGAAGCUGGUUGAAAUGUAGCCUCAAGCAUUGUUUUUGUCAUGAUGCGCAUGUGACAGCAGCCAAAACAGUCGGUCUUGCAAGGAACUGCAGCUGGGACACGAGACACUUCAUGCAUCCUAUUUAGUACAUUUUUUCCCCUAUUUGUAGAUGGAUUAAUUCCACUAGGUCGCUACAGAGUACAUUAGGCAGCUCCACAGGUGGCGUUUCCAUUAUCAUCCAUAAAACUGAAUGCAAAUACAAACAAUUCGUAAAACCAGGAGGGCCAUUUAGCGUGGCAGGUAUAACAUAGGCUCGCAGGACUGCCCUCCGUUUCUUGCGGAAAGUUCCUCCGGUAGUCAUAGUUGAGCAAGUCUCACUUAAAACUUUAUUUCUGGUCUGAAUUUGUCCGCUUCAACUUCCAGCCAUUGGGUUUUGGUAUGCCUCUGUCCCCCGACAUUAAUGGAGGGCCCUCCAUUAUCGACUUGGUCUCUUGCGUAGGGACUUGUGUUGCAUUUAUCAACCAAACUGGUGUUCCCACGAAGAAAAGGUACCGUUAGGUUGCCAAGGUCUCCUUUGGAAAAAUGGAAGUGUUGCUUGUCAUUAAUCUUAGUGCUGUCCCCUGGAGACAAAACUAUAGCUCAUAAACCUUGUUUAACCCCAAGUUCCAGUAUUUCUUUAUCAAGUUCUGUAUCCUCUGGUCCAUUAUUUUGCCUACAAACAUCGUUCUGAAAGACCUAUAAUUGCCCAAGUGAAAACAGGCACGACUUGUUCUGUUGUAUUUUUGUAGAGGUUUUCGAGAAGUCUUUGAUUUGCGUUCUCAAAGGCUCGGGUUGUCGUGCUUCGGUGCCUGAUCUUGCUUGGCUUGAUCUCCCAGGUGGACGGCUGGAGAGUCCGAGCGGCCAGGACAAGCCCUGCCGGGACCAGCUGAUUUCCUUUGAAUCAGUCAUUUCCUAUCUAACUUAGUAGUGCCAUCAAACCAGCAUUUUCUGAGAAAAGGCUAUUCCAUCGGGAAAUUCUCAGGCAACUCAUCAUCUUGUCUAGUCACUUUGGGAAGCACAUCCAGAAUGAAGGAAAACCUGCUUGAAGACAGAUUCCCUGCACUUGUCUUCUAGCUACAUCAAAUGCACAGGCUGGGAAAACCAUCAGUGCCACUUCUUUGCAGCAUUGCUGGUCACAUCACCACCAGUCUGGGACUCGACAGUGCAGGAGCCAACGCACGGCUGGGUUCCCCUUUCUCCGGAAGUAGCUAACGGGGGACCAAGUCCUAACAUGUGAAAGCUAAAGGAUUUGGGAACAAGCCAAAGGAUCUCCCUUGAAGCCUGUUGUUAACCACCUGCACGACAUAAAGCACGCUGAGAUCUGGCCCACAAUUUGCUGUGAUAUGGGGAACUGGAUUAAACCCUCCUACCCCCAUCCCUCCCCUUUGCAGCCUCAGCCUAGGCAUCGCAUCAGGUCUACGGCUAAAGCAUACCUGUGCCUCACGCUCCGGAGCUACAGAAGAGCCCCUUGUGCACUGAGAGCCUUUGGGACUGCUCUAAAUUGCACCACAGACUACCCAGCUCCAAGCUGCCCUAGGCCUAAAGGGCACAGACAUUAAUCUUUGAGUUCCCACUACCCACAUCUUCUUCCAGGCCUGAGCAGAGCUGAUGAUCCAGCCACAUCCGUACUGCCUAGCAAGUCGAUACCAUGACUGAUGACAACCCCCUUCCCCUUGGAGGGGGCGAUCCCAAGGACAGGACAAGGAACGGGACCUUAAUCAUUCGCAUGUCACGGGGCUGUGUUAUGGUUUGCUCUCAUCAGCCUGAGAAAACACCGAGCUGCUUCAAUUCAAGUAAGAAAGGGGGAUGCAACAUUCCCAGGAUAGCAACCCCUGGGCCUUUCCUCUAGCUAGGAUGAGCAUUUUAAAAACUGAAUAAAAAGGAUAUCAAGGUAUGCAUGUACUCGGGAAUGACCCUAGACUGCUCCUGGGAUGGGGCUGAGCACGUUGCUUGUUCAGGAGUUACCUCUACGUCAGGAUGCAUCCGACAGCGGACCCUCCCUCCCUCGUUAAGCCUUGCCCAGGACUGGACCCCCCUUCCUUCAUCUUCCUGUUAGUGGCCUUUAAAAAAAAAUAAGACAAAGCAAAGCCAACCUCUUCUCUGGAUUUGUAUCUCCAGAGAAACUCUCAUGUCCACCAACAAAUGAAGUUCUUGUCCCGAGGGCUGAACUUUGGACACACAUAAGGAAGUUAUUUCCCAGCAGUUAUAUUUCUUUGGUUGGUUGUUCCUUACUUAGAAGGAAACUCAGAGCCAGCCCUGGGAUCCUCACUCCUGCACAACCACUCGCAUCCAGGCCAGCAGAGUCCACCCAGUUAAGGUCUGGAGGACUCCAUGCUAAACUGUCUGCAUUAACAGCCCCCAGCAGGUAGCACAAGCUGGAGACAGGCCCAAGUAUGGAUGCUUGCCUGGGUGAUGUGGUGACUAUCCUGGGAAGGCAGCUAGACCCCUCUCCAGAUGCUCCGAUUAGGAUCUGAAUCCAGACUUUCCCCACACUGCCAAAGGCUGCGGUUACAAGAAAAGUCUCGCGCAGCAUGUGGCUACAGCUGGUAAACUCUUUUCUCUCCAGGCCGUUUCCAGGACGCUAGCAAUCCUGACAUUGUUCCCCUAAGGGUAUUGGUGUCUGGGGUCGUGGGGUCCUGCCAGUGGCAGGGGGUCAGACUGGAUGAUCUAUUCAGGUCCCUUCUGACCCCAAACUACUAUGAAACCAUGAGCUUCCAAACCAUCUUCAUAAAGGUCGCUUCUUCCAACAGUCACCAAGAACGGCUCCUCAUCCCACAAUACAGAAGUGACCUGAACAUUUUGAGCAACAGGGUUUUCCCCUAUUGAUUGUCUGCAACUGCUAUACCCAUUAAAACCACGGCUGCCAAGAUGCAACUGUUGUACUUUUGAAGCCACAGAAGAAAAGCCGAUUUACCUGAGCGAAAGCUAAUACUCGGUUAGCUCCUGUGAAUUUGCCCAACCAAUUUUAAAAUCCAUAACACCUGCUGUACAUUUUUGGAACCACUCAAAGUGAUCAGAUUGGGUCCUUACAGUAAGCGAGGGUGGUAAAGGGCGCCUGCCCUAUUGUGCUGCUGCUCGCUUGAUCACUUCCCUCCUCUCUUCCGUAAGACAAAGACUUUAGCCUUUAAUACAAGAGAUCGUGGUGCCUUUACCUUCUGCAUUACUGAUGCAGAGCUCAGUACACGUCUUCUGCAUUCAUACCGCGCUGGACAUGGAAGGAAGCUUUGCAUGUGGGAGCACUUCAGUGGAGCGCUUGCACAUCUUUGCAAAAACCCUUCUGUCCAUUCAUUGAGGGACAAUCAAAUCCCAGCAAGGCUGUUGAACCUCGCAAAGGUUUUGAGCUUGAGCACAUGCAAUACUAAGUGUGGGUGGUGCUCACUCGAGGAGGAUCAGCCAUCCUCUUUCUUAGUAAUUCUCUCAAGGAACCGGCAACCUGACACAACAGCCUCUAUUUUGAAAGUGCUUCUUGGUGACCAACAUCAGAUGCUGCCUCAGCCUGACAAAGGGUAUUUAUACCCAAAAGCUAGCAAAGAAAUUUUUUUCCAACUAUUUGAGUUGGUCUAAUAAAAGAUAUCAAAUUUACCCAAAGAACCUUGCCUGUCUUGCUUGCUGAGAUUUUAGUGGAAAGCCAUACGUUUCCAUCGCAACACAACAAACUGGGGACCAGUCUGUCAUCUCAGCACACAAGCCCUGCUCAUCGUCAUCAAAAGCACAAGUCAUCAAAGGGAGAGGAGACCUCUACGGCCAGAAAUGCAAAAAAAAAGUCGCCUACUUCAGGUGAAUACCGAUUCAGGUGUACAAGCACCUUUCAGUGAAGCAAGGGAUGCACUGCCAAGAAGGCUAGAUUUCUUUUAUGAACCUAAAACUUUUAGGUUCAAAACCACAGGGCUAGUGAAACAAUUUUUUUCUUAUAAGUUUGCUUAGUUUGUUGUGUUUUAUACAUCACAGAUGAUAUAGCAAACUAGAACUUUUUUUAAAAUGUCCAUUUGCUUAGAUCUUGAACUGAAGAAUAUUAGCCUUCAGCCCCUAGCAUAUUCUUAACAUUGCUACUUUAUUUUUUAACUGGAGAAAAAUAUAGAUUAGGUUAUAUGGGGUGAUGCAACACACUGUCUGCGCCACCCCACCCUUUUCAAAAUCCUAGAUCCACCCAUGGCUACAUGGACUGCAACAGGUUGGACCAGUGUCCCUCAACAGAGCAUUCAGCUUGGUGUCUCCUGAAGCUGCGAGGGCAGGUGCUGCGGUGUUUAAAGCUGGACAAGGCGGCUAGGGACAAAAAUUACAUAUAAACUGGUAUAAGUGACAGGAAACUGGUUCAAAUCUGUAACACAACAGAAGUUCAGUGCACAUAACCCGCUUUCAAAAUGGCUGAAACUGGUUUAAGAUAAACCUGGAUGGAUGUAGUAUCAGACUUCACUGGUUUAGGUUAAAUCGGUUUAUUGAAUUUCUGUCCCAGAUCUCCUCCAGAUUCACAGUCCCCCAGCAUCCCAGGAUGCUUUGCAGCUCCCCAGCAAACCCACCUUCACAGGGUGCAUAGGCUAGCCUUGGCCCAAGCUGCCUGCUCCAGCCCAGCAGGGAGCCCUGCUCUAGCGCCCCCCGGCUUCUGACCUGGGCCACUGCAGGCAUGUGGCUGCAUUUCCAGCAUCAAGAGUAAAUGUCUGUUCAUUUGCUUAUUGGUUCAAUCUGUGCAUUUUACACCAACCUGUAAAGACUGAACUGAUUCAGCCUCGGGCUUCUCGACUGUCUGUACUUAGCUCGAUAGUCAGCAGUGGUAAGCACCAAUUCCCAUGUCACUUCAAUCAGUAGAAACCAACAUCACUUCUUACCUUUAAUACAGUAUAAGCACAGAUGAAUCCGAUAUAAACCGUGCUAGUCAGGGUGAGUUAGCGUUUCAUAGCCUAGCCCCCACUGUAUAACUGACCGACAGAGAAAGUAAAGCCAAGAGCAACGUGCGUGAAUCAAAAUGGUGUGUGCCGUAUUGCAUCUGCAACCCCCCUGACAUGUGCAUACCACAACCCACACGCACACGCCUGCCCCGUGCCAAGACAGAAGGGUGCGAUUCUGGUGGAAAUCAAGAGUAAUUCCAUUGCAAUCUCCUGCAAGUGAAACCUGCACAAGAUAGGACUGAGGGGGAAAAAAUGCUAUACACGACCAGUGGAGCAUCUCAGUUUUGAAAAGUCAAAUGCAGAUAAGAGCACGAUCCAGCACUUUGCAGGAGGCACAGUGCAGAAGGCAGGGUAGAAAUGCACCAUAUAGACUAAGUGAAUCAGAGAUGCUUUGGUUCGCUUAGUCUACAUGAUGCAUGUCUACCUUGCCUUCUGCUUGAUUUCAGGCUAACCCAGCUAACUUCCUCAAUCCAGCUCUUUAUGACUGCUGAAUAAUCAUCUUCUUAAGCCAACGUGAGCAACUGGUGUGAUCCUUCCUGCCCUGCUCAGAUAAACACCUGCGCCUUCUCUUGGUAGCCCACAGACCGAGGGGGGAGAGCCGUCUGCUAUCUACCCACACAGUGAUGCAGAGGUGCAGGCCAUGUUCACCUAGAUCCCCCACCGUGCACUUCUCAUGUAGCAUCAGGCUCUCUCUGAAGAGGAGGCUCCUUGGGUUAAGCUCUUAAUACCCAAUUAAUUAUUUUUCACGUUGCCCUUAAUACUUUUGCCUCAUGUUUUCAUAAGUGCAGUAGCAUCAGAUUUUCCAGCCCAAGAACUCUCUGCUGUGUAACAAACAUUGGAGUUCAAUGGCACGCUCAGUAAGUGCAAAGGGUCACAGGAGAUUAAAGAUGACAUCAUUUGCUUUGCCAUUAAUCCUGUGUUGAAUAUUAUCCAGGAGAGAGUAAUUUUUAAUGGGGCCCUGGCUUGUCUUGUUUAAACUUGCACAUACCUGAGCUGCUUUUAGGCCUGAACCCACAGAAAAGAAAAUAAUGCAACUUGGCUUUGGUGCAAGCGAGACGUGCUAAGAGCACAAAAUCCACCUCCUUUUAUCUCUGCAUUUACUCAGUGGCGCAGAGUCAAUAGCAGAAAAUGGAGAUUGUUACAUUACGGCGCACCUAAUAAUACUACAGCAUUCCUAGUGCCAAUUAACUCCAACCCAUUUCAACACUGCAAAUCAUUCAUAAACCACUUCAGAUAAUAUAACUGAUGGAGGCAGUAAAAGAGGAAAAAAUAAGCACAAUGUGAGAGUUGAGUAUUCAUACCCGCACCGCAUGCAUGGCACCUUUGUUCCAGAGAUCUCCAGGUACUUCGCCAACAAACAAGCCAUAGCGCUUGUGCAAGGUUAUUCAUUAUUAUGCCCCAUGUUUUCAAGUGUGGGUCCCCCAGAACGACCCUCAAGUCCUCAAGUUGUUCACUUGUGCAAUCCAUGCGGCUAAUACUUUUAGUCCUUAACAACUUUCCUUCAAACUCACAUUUGCUGCAACUUCUAUAGCAACUUCAUGGGUCAGCUGCUGCUGUGCCAAGUCCAUUAGGCACCAGAUUUCCAUCUGAGCCCAGCAAUGCACUGGGCUACGAUGGUUAAGACAUGCCUGCUCCUGGAGCCACAGGUUCAUACAACCAGUAAACCCGUUUAUGGCUGAAUGGACAGCGGGCAGCCUUUGGCACAAGUCUAGAGAAAGGCUCAGACUCGUGCCCCUGAAGCCAUAAUGCGAUGCUUAACCCCACUUCCAUCAUAUCCCAGCAUAUUUAGGCACCCAAUACAUGCGUUUAAGAGCCUAUCUUUCAGGUGCGUGGCAAGGAUUUCUUAGGGUGAUCUCUUUGAUUGGACCAACUAUGUAGUGGGAUCGAGUUAGACAAGCUUUUGAAUGUAAGACAUCCUUCCUCAGGUCACACUUUUAAUCUUUAGGGUCUCACUUUUCAAACUUUUGAUUCAUUGCUGCUUUACAAGGGGCAGAGAGAUGAAACCAUUGGCCUAAGUUUGCACAGGAACUCAGUGGAAGAAGAAAAAAUGGAAGUAGAAGCCCGGAUCCUUUUCUAAUCACAUACAAUUCAAUUAACCUGGAGCGCUGGAGGGCUGACUUAUGCCAAGAGCACAACUACUUGUCUGAGUCACGACUACCCACGGGAGGACGGGGACUGAAACCAGACCCCUAGAAAAGGCUGUAAUUUAUAUAGAGCUGCAGUUUGGAAACUAGUCAGGAUUUUUCAACUGUACCCGGAGAGAUUUUAUCUGCUGGUGUUGUGGACUGGUUUGUGUUCUGCUUCUAGCCUCCUUCUCAGGAAGAGAUCUGGUUGGAGGUAUACAACACAGAAAGUGUCCAAAUAUUAAUAGAAGAACAUCUGUUUAGUAAGACAUUUUUUUACCACCUUCUAGAAGACCCUGUUAGCAAUAGCAGAGCAUUUCCCAUGCGCGGGUCAAGUGCGUGCUGACUUUUCCAGUGUUGGAAUGGAGAGUUUUGAUUCCAGAGCCAGAUGCAUGACAAAAGUUGAGGCUUGUACUAACAAAAAUAGAGGAGAAACUAGAGGGAAAAAUAAAUGAAACAGUGCAGUAUUUGAUUUUGAUGAAGGUAUCUCCGAAUGCAUAUCUCUGUGGAGGUUUGCAACAUGUGAGCCCUGAGAGCACGACUUCCUGCACUGCGAGGGCAGGUCUGGUAGCUCCUGGGGGUCUCCACCAGGCAGACUCUCUGCUGCGCUCGUCCCAUACGAACGCCAAACACCGGUCCCUGCCCCACAGAGCCCACAAACCAGAAGACAGGAGCCAAAAUCUGAAGGAGGAAAAUAUUUGGUGGGGGAGGAGUAGGAAAGGAAAUAAAAAUAGGGUUCCCUAGGACAGAGUCACUGUGUGCAUGGGUCCUGGCUAAUCAACUGUGAUCAAAUACUGGGCCCAAUAUUCCUAAAAGCACCAGAAUUGAAGGCAGAAAGGUAAUUCAUGGCUGAGAGCACUAGGGCAAGUAGGAAAGCAUUUGCAGGAUGAAGCCUGAACCCAAGUGGGACCCAAUCCAAAGCCCAAAGUCACCGUAAUGAUUCAAGAGUCACUGCACCGGGCCCUUACUGAGGUCUGACCUCUCACUCAGCACUUAGUGCUUAGCAUGCUAAAAACGAUCAGUCACUAAUUAACCCUCACUAACCCCUGGGAGGAAGGCCGUUAUGCAUUUUCUCCUUUGCAUAAAAGGGGGGGGAAGCAAAAGCAGAGGAAAAAUGGACUUGUCCAACAUUAUACAAGCAAUUGGCAAUAGCAAGGGUAGAACUUGGGACCUCCUGACAUGUGGGGCUGUAUCCACCCCUUCAGGGGCUCACAUAGCAGCUGCUUCUUCACUUGUGUAAUCCAGGCAGCUAAUUUGUUAAGGACUAAAAAAUCUUUCCUUCCAACCCACGUUUGCUGCAACAUCUUCAGCAAUGUCACGGGUCAGUGGCUGGCGUGCCAAGGUCCGUGCGGAGCGAGCUGGCCAAGCGUCUCGUUUCCUGGAGCUGCUCCACCGGCUGGUACCCACCUGCCCUGAUGUCCCACACUCGGACUGGAAACUCUCUGGAGCAGGGAUUAGCCUUUUGUUCUGCUUGUCCCACCCCUAAGCACGCAGGUCCUGAUCAACAAAUACAGGUAGGGGUGGUAGAAUCCAUCCCCCUGGUAAACUGUCCGGGGCAGAUUAGGAUUUUCUUGGACAUAUUUCCUAUUUGUGACUAUUCACCUGCAAAUGACUUUUGUUCAGUCAAUUGGGCAUGAACAGUGUGUCGCGAGUAUGGUAAGCUAUACCAGCUAGCCUUGCUGGGAAAACAGGGCACGUGCUAUUGCCUGUGCCCGUUAGCUGUAUAAAGGUUGAUAAAAUCAGCUUGCUGGUCUGAACGCCGACAUGGAGGAAGUCAAAAUUUGCUUUUCCUGAACACACUUAAAGUUUGCAGAAAGAGCUAACUUCCUGCCAGAAAGGUUCAUUGACUCUAAAUUUUUUGAAGCUGAAGAAUAUAUACAUUCAAGGAUGCAGGCUCAGCUCAAGUGGGUUCAAAUUAUUAUUCUAGUGAGUAGAUGUGUAGGGGGUCGGGGCAGUGUUUUAAAAAGGUGCUUGCCCAAGGAAUGAGGGGAUAAGCACUGGAAUUGGGCUUUUAGAUAUGCCUUUCUCGGCAUGAACACACUGAUCUCUCUGAUGAUUGCAGCCAGGGGCACAUCCAGGGGGAGGAAAGGGGAGAGUGGUAUAGCUGCACCCCGUUGAAUCCUGCUGUACCCAAACUUCAAAACCAACUGCCUGGGAGCGGCAAUGGCAUUUCUAUUCAGGCAGCAACGAGGGCUCAUUCAUGGCUCGUUAUAAUCUACCUCCUUCUUGCUAAUCUCCCUUUAAUCCAGAGCUGUUAACAACCCUCUCUCUCCUUUUUAAUCAUCUUGAUGUUCCACUAUUCAAACCAUCCUUUCUUCUCAAUGUUGCUAUCCCUUAGCCAUUCCUGGAAAUGCCUCUCUUCCAUUUCCCAGCCCAGCAGACUGCUGUAGCUCUAGCUAAAAGCUUUAACUCCGGUGCGGAAAUGACUGACAGUGAAGCAGUGGCUGCAUCGUCAAAACACUCACGCCGACGAGUCUGUUUUGUGAAUCUGAAUAAGACACGUACAUUUAAUUAUCAGGACCACAAGACUAACAGAGCAAUGUCUUUUGACAAUGAUUUGCCUCGUUUGUUGUAUUUUUAAACCGGUAUGUAUGAUCUACCAAAUUAAUGCGCAUUCCAAUAAAGUUAUAUUUCUUUUUCCUUUGA